GCCCGCGCCUCUCCCUCCACACUUCGCCGCAAGCAGAGGGAGCCGGCUCCGGCCUCAGCUGGCCCAGAGAGGGGCUCCCUCAGUGCAGUGGCGAGCUGAAGGGCUCCUCAAGGGCGGCUGGAGUGGACGCUGAGGCCGAGGAGACGCCAAGAGCAAACGAGGGCUGCUAGUACAUUGUCACCUCUCACUGGUAACUACAGUUGCUGUCAGUUUAACUGUUGAUAUUCUGGAAGCAAGAUCUUGGAAGGCCAAGGACAGGUCAUUUCUUAGGACUGUGCAAAAGAGAAUCAGUCUUUACAGUAAGCUAUUUGAUUCUAGUAGUUCUUUCAUCUCAGUCUUUUGAAAGCAACUUCCCCUCUUUAACCAACACCUGCCAUGGCCUCUUCAUGAGCCGAAGAAGGAAAGACAGGACAGAUUCUUAUGACCUGAAACAGCACCUCAACUCUUACCUUGGAUAUUUCUACAUGAAGAAUCUGCUCUGAAACUAUAGCAAACAAUCACAGAGUGUUUGAGUGUGAGUCCAGACUGGUUCGGGAAGACCAAGAAGCAAUGAUGAUGUCUGUUUUUGUCAAAUGUCUGAAAACUAUUUUUAUUUUUCUAAAACUUUGUUCAGAAGUCUCAAUAUUGUAGUGUAUAGAGAUGUACACUAAUUUAGUGAUAUGAAGAUGAAGGGCUUUAAGCCUGUGUUCCUUGCAGGCAUCUCAGUACCUAGGAACUCCAAAGAACAAACUGUUGCUCGUGCAAAAUUAAAUUUCAUAAAACAGCAAA
rnacentral:lncRNA from 1 species